AAAACACCAUGUCUUUUCCUCCAUCCAACCAAUCCAAGAAUUGGGGCCUAAUUGUUUCUUUGUCCUAACUAGAUCUUCUAGCAAAGUUAAGCUAUCAAACAUUAUCCUCCGUCAUCCAGCUCGUUGUCGAAAUGCUAAUUACAUUAUAUACUAUAAAAUUUAUCUUAAACAAACUAAAACAUAAUAUUAACACAAAUGACACUUCUUGACCACUAAAAUUAAAUUUACAACUCACUUAGCUUUUUAAAUUAAGUAUCUAGAUGUGCAACUUCAAGUUACCUACAGCCGUAAAAUUAAAGCAUUCAGAACUUAUCCACUCAAGUUUUAUGUUGGAACUAGCUUCGAGAAAUUGGGACAUGGAGUUUUGGAGCCAUUGAAUUUCACUAGGUCACCAAAACCACACUCAACAUGCUGAAGCCGCCACGUGCCGCCUCUGGUCGAUAGAGUUUGGCUGGUCUGGAUACGCCACCAGUGCACCAUGCCAUUAGGAAUACGCUAGUCACCACCACUCACUGCCGCUUGUCAAAAUCAGGCCAAAAACCAUUACUGCCAAACCUUUUUUGAUUUGCUGGAAAACCCAAUUCAAAUAAGCGGGGAUGGUCAUGGAUGAAAGCUCACAUCAAGUAAGUUUCAAUGGUGUGCCUGGUUUCAAAAAUGGUGGCCGAAAUCACCGAAUUCAAAGGGAAGAGGAUUCCAGCCUCAUUUGCUUCACUAGCACCACUAGGUUGCUUCCCAUUGUAAAGGCUAAAGAAAUUGGGGAGGGAUCAACCAGAGCUCUCUCUCUUUCUCUCUUCAACUUCUUCUUCUCUCUUA
rnacentral:misc_RNA from 1 species